rnacentral:rRNA from 1 species
AAAACUUAAGAAACAGGUUAACUGGAGAAUAAAGUUUUAAUUUAGUAAAAUUAUAAUUUCGAUUAUAAUAACGGCUAUUUAAAUGAUCCAUGAAACGAUAAGUUUAUUUUUUCAAAAAUUAAUUUAAUCGUACCGAUAACCGCAUCAGGUCUCCAAGGUGAGUAGCUUCUGGCCAUUGAGUAAUGGUAAUUUAGGGAAUUCGGCCAAUUAGAGCUGUAACUUCGGGAUAAAGCUUGGCUCUGAUGGAAAUCAGAACCGAUAGUUACAAGGAGAGCCCAACUGUUUAAUAAAAACUUAGUGUCGCGUCAUACCUUUAUAAGUAAUAAACGUGACAUGAAUCCUGCUCAGUGCUGUGUUUGUUAAACUGGAUUAAUCCAUUUAAGCGCCGGUAAAUAGCUGGGGUAACUAUGACUCUUAUCAAAGUAGCGAAAUACCUCGUCACUUAAUUAGUGACCUGCAUGAACGGAGCUAUGAGGUUCUCACUGUCCCAAAUUAUCACUCAGCGAACCAACAGUUGUGGGAACGGGCACAAAUUAUCCAGCGGGGAAAGAAGACCCUGUAGAGCUUCACUUUGGUCUAAUCUUGUAUAGUUUCGUUAGGGGUGCAGUCUAGGUGGGAGAUUUUUAAUCAAAUAUGAGAAACCACUACCCUUUCUGGAAUUAUACUUACUAAAAUUCUUUUAUAAAUUUUAGGAUCGGAUUAGAUAGAAAGUUUGGCUGGGGCGGCACACCUUCGAAAAAGCAGCGAAGGUGUCCUAAGUUAAGCUCAGUAAGGACAGAAAUCUUACGUUGAGGAUAAGGCCAAAAGCUUAAUUUACUGUGCCUUUUUGUACUAGGAUCAGUUUGGAAACAAAGGCCUAACGAUCCCUAAUUAGUCUUAGGUGUGUAAGACUUGGGGUGACAGACAAGUUACCUCCGGGACAACUGGCUUGUGGCUGCUAAGAGAUCAAAUCAACGCAGCUUUUUGAUUCUUCGAUGUCGGCUCUUCCUAUCCUAGUGAUGUACAAGUCACUAAGGGUUGGAUUGUUCACCCGUAUUAGGGAUCGUGAGCUGGGUUUAGACCGUCGUGAGCCAGGUUUGUUUUAUCCUACUGGAUAUAAUUUAGCAUCUUGAUAGUAGUUUGAUUUAGUACGAGAGGAACUGUUGAAUAUGGUCUCUGGUUUGGGAAUUUUAUGAAAAUAAAAGUUCCAAAGCUACGCCGUCUGAGAUAAUGGCUGAAGGCCUCUUAAGCCAGAAACUCAUCUAAAAAUAGA